AUCAUGGCUCAGGAUGAACGCUAGCUACAGGCUUAACACAUGCAAGUCGAGGGGAAACGACAUCGAAAGCUUGCUUUGAUGGGCGUCGACCGGCGCACGGGUGAGUAACGCGUAUCCAACCUGCCCAUCACUUGGGGGAUAACCUUGCGAAAGUAAGACUAAUACCCAAUGACGUCUCUAGAAGACAUCUGAAAGAGAUUAAAGAUUUAUCGGUGAUGGAUGGGGAUGCGUCUGAUUAGCUUGUUGGCGGGGUAACGGCCCACCAAGGCGACGAUCAGUAGGGGUUCUGAGAGGAAGGUCCCCCACAUUGGAACUGAGACACGGUCCAAACUCCUACGGGAGGCAGCAGUGAGGAAUAUUGGUCAAUGGGCGAGAGCCUGAACCAGCCAAGUAGCGUGCAGGAUGACGGCCCUAUGGGUUGUAAACUGCUUUUAUAAGGGAAUAAAGUGAGUCUCGUGAGACUUUUUGCAUGUACCUUAUGAAUAAGGACCGGCUAAUUCCGUG
rnacentral:rRNA from 1 species